AAACAAAGGAAUAUGGAGUAUAAGGUUCCAAGCUAAUCUAACAAGAAACAAGGAUCAAGGGAUAUUUUUGGGGAAAGCUUUGAAGAUGGGUUACAAACUAGAAAGGAAUGAAUGCAUCAAAACCACAAGAAGUACACUAUUUCCCCUCAUUACUGAAAGUCCUUCAACACCUUGCAGUAGAGUCAGCCAACCUCUUCCUCAAGGUGAAAUGAUGUUUAAUCUCCUUAUGAGGAUUGAUGGGAAGUUAACUGAAUAGGCUAUGAAGAUAACAAAGAUUAAAGAGAAACUUUAGCAACUUGAAGAUCUUCUACAUCAAGCCAAGAAAGCCAAAUCCCUUACUUGUAAAGCUUCAGCCAUUGUUGCAAGCAUGUCCAGUGAAAGAACUACUACUGAGCAGUUUGAUCCACACACAUCUGAACAUGAAGAAGAAAUUAAAAAAGAGUAAACAGAUAAUGAAAAGGAGUAAGCUGCUAUAAUAACACCUGAAAUAGAACAAGACCAAGAAAUUGGAAAAGAAAAUGAAGAUGAAGAAGGUGAAAAGUAACUUAAACAAGAAAGAAAAGUGAAGAAAGAAAAUCAAGGUGAAGAAAAACACUCAGCUGCUAGAAAAAGUGAUGCAAGUUCCUUUGGAGAAUCUGAAGGGAUCCUAGUUUUUUAUUUUAUCAAAGACAUUCUCAAGGAAGCUAAGGCUGACCAAGCAAAACAGCAAGUAGAGAUGGAAUAAAAAGUUUAAUCAGCUCAACCAAGGACAAAACAAGCUGCAGGGGAAGCAGAUUAUGAUAAGGGUAAAGUAGUUGAUACUGCUCUUUUUGCGAAGAAAACUACAAAAAGGGGGAGAAAAACAAUGGCCACUACAACUAAGGUCUUUAGAAGAAGAAAAUUUGCUAGAAUAGCCGAGUCCAUUAUUAAACCAGUUCCCAAAUUUGCAUCACCUCAAGUUAUCUCCUCUAGACCAUCCUCACCUUCUAAACCCAAAUCCAUUCAUUCCAUUGAUGCUGAACCCCUUAAUGUCCACCUAAGGACUAAUGAAUCCUUUUUGAAUGAAUCCUCUUCUGACUCUGAUUAAAUGACUUUCAAUCUUAGGCCUUUCUUUUGCAUGAUGACAAAAAAGGGGAAAAAAGUAAAAAAGUAAGAAAAAUAGAAGUAGGAAGUAAGUUGGUAGAAAAGAUAGGAAAGACAAAUUCAGUCUUUAAGAUAUGCCUUUAUUGUCUUUGUUUUGGUAUGUUUUAUGGUAUGGUUUAUAAGACAAUGUUUUAUGUUGAGCUAUGAACAAUGGUUGAAUGCUUAUGGUUUUAUGAUGGAAUUAUAUUUAUGCUUAUAUGGUUUAUGUUUUCAUGGUUGAGUGGCUUUAUGCUCUUAUUUUCCAUACUUGUAUAUUGGAUAAUUUUAGUAAGGCACACAUUUAAGGAGAACAAUCUCGAAUCUGCAGAUAAAUUUUUUUUAGUAUGACAUUACACUCUUAAUCUAGGAGUGUUUUGUCAUCGUCAAAAAAGGGAGGAGAAUGUUGACUUGAUAUGGUUUUUGUGAUAACAAAACAUUCGUCAUUCAUUAAUGUAUAACCUCAUUAAUUAAGUGUGCAGGAUAAAGUCAAUUCCCUCAAUGAAAUGAAUGAUUAAAAGUAAGAUCAUAUCAUAGAUAGGAUAAUCAAUUAGAGUGAGAAAAAUGGAAAGAAUUUGUGAAGACAAGGCUUUUGUAACUGAUUAUCAAAAAGUCUUAAUCAAUUAAGGAAUGAUUGGACUAUAAGUUAAAGCAAAACAGAAAAAUGUUAAUCAGUUAGCACUAGGAUUAACUGAUUAAGAAGGUGCUGGACAAACCAAGACAGAGAUCUACUAAUCGGUUAAAGCAUGGUAUUAAUCAAUUAGAGCACAAGACUUGAAAAAUCUGUUAGUGUAAGCCUUGCAAGCCAAUUGAUUUUGUGCUUGUAAAACACUACAUUAAUUAGUCAUAUUUCAUGUUAAAUACAUUAUGGAUAUCUUAUAUAAUGUAUGAGGUAUUUCUUUACUAAUGAGUUUAUUUAUAAAGAGUUAUAAAAGAUUUGUGUUGAUAAAGUCCUUGGAACAUAAUGGCCUUGCAAAGAAAUUAUAAAGUUUAUAAUUAUGAGAUUUUUAUGCAUCAAAGCCUUGUUCCUAAAUAUAUUCCUGGUCAUUGUAUUGUUAAGAAUAAGGGCAUUGACAAUGCUCAAAGGCUGGUACAUGCUAUGUCUCCUUACUUUGGAAGUAAGCAAUUGAUUUUAUAGGUUGAAGUAUGUGAGAUACUAAGGGAUAGCUUGUGGGUGCUUGUUAAGGAACAAGUUCACUAAACAUGACCCGCUACGAGAGUUCCAUUUGGUAUUGUACUCAAGUGUCUAUGGAAAUACUAUCAUGUGUUAGUAGUAUAUGUAAUCUUUACACUUAUGAUACUAAGUCAUCUAGUAUGUGAAUUGUCAUGCUUUGAUUUCACCUUUAUGAGUCUAGAGGUGACCGACUGCAUAAACAGGGUGCUUUUGGGUAUGGCAUAAAGCAUACGAAGAUAAAUAAGUAGUCUAUAUAAGAUUCAUCACCCCAAGUGAUUUGAAGAGGACAUAUCUUAUUUGUUCCUAGCUUAUAUUGACUAAACGUUCUUGGCCAAGGCAAUUUUGAUAGGUCAAUAUGGAAGUUGUAGGACUAAUAUGGAUAAGUUAAAAAGUAGAUACCGAGCCAAGCUUUUUAUUGAUCCAGGAUAUAUGAUGAAAGGAUCGAAUUACACUCAAAUACUAUAAAUUGAAAGGUUAGUUAAACCAUAUUGACUCUCCUAACAUUUGAGUGGUCAUGAUGUAUUGCUAGAUACUGCUCAUGAUCUAUAAAUAUAAAUAUAAAUUCUUAUUUAAAUUAAUUUAUAUUUAUUACCAACAUAUUGGGUACUUAAUGGGUCACACACAUAAGGUCAAUUGUUGAAAUUAAUUUGAAUUCAAUUGGAUGUGAUCCAAUUGAUUUUAUAAAGGUUUAAUCCAAUUAAAUAUUGGGCUAAAUCAAAGAUGACUUUAUGGAAUAUUAAAUAAAAGCCCAAUUAGCCCAAGACAUUUUCUAAUCCUUGUUGGAUAUAAAUGUCACAGCCCAAUUUCCAAGCCAUGACCGACGUAAGGGCCCAAUGGGCUCAGCCCACUAAGCCCAAGCAAGCCUACUUAAUUGAUCUUAUACAUUAAUCCCUAUUUCUUUAGAAUCCAAAGCUCGAAAUGUUCAAAUACUGUUUCUUUGAAAAUGAUUCAUAAAACCCAAUCAUACAUUCAUAAUGGCAUCAUCCACUAAUAAAUUCAUUAAUAGAUUAACAAUGAUUCUUAAUGUUCACAUUAAAUAUUCACAUACAUAUAAUUAGACCUUGACUGUCAACGGAGUGACUCUGGGUACGAUUGAUAACACUUAGUGUCACAUUAAACCUAUCGAGUAAUGUACAGGGAGGAGCACCUCAUCCGAGGAUCCAAUCACCUUUGACUCAGGAAACCUAAAACAUGAAUUUUAAAAACGUGAGUAUAAACUCAGUGAGUGAACAUAAGAAGGGAACAAGCAUCAAUACGGGAGGUUUUACAAAUCAUGAUGCAUUUAUGUUGAAGACAAUGCAAUUUAACUCAAUUUCUUGUCACAACAGAAAUCUGUCUUUGCUGCGGUGAAAAUCAAGUGAAAACCGUUUCUCAAGUUUUAACAUUCAAAAAUCAAUGCAACCACAAUAUAAUUUCUAAAACCUCUAUAUAUAUAUAUAUAUAUAUCAUAUAUAAACAUAUAUAUAACCACUAGCCUCGCCCCCAACUUUGUCUCAGCUUAUGUGCACUACCACACGGUACAUAGCCGGGUCAGCACAGCUCAUGUGCACUCAUACACCGCACAUGGCUGGGUCAGCACAGCUCAUGUGCACUCCUACACCACACAUGGCUGGGUCAGCACAGCUCAUAUACACUCCUACACUGCACAUGGCUGGGUCAGCAUAGCUCAUGUGCACUCCUACACCGCACAUGGCUGGGUAAUAAUUAUCACACAAAAAUAUCAUUUAAUGUAUAAUAUACCUAUCAACAUAAUGUAGAAACUCAUGAAUUCAUCAUGUUCAUAUCUCAUAAUAUCAAAACAUUUCAUCAAGGGCUUAUUCCCAUGCAACUUUUAAAGAAAAACCAACAAAAUAUUUCAAGUGGCUCAAUCAAGCAUAAAAUCAUUUAUUCCAAAAUAUUUUAAUGCAAGUUCACUCACCUGGCAACAACGAGAUAUUAAGUUGCUAUUUGUUCAGAGGUGUCUCUAACUAUUUUCACUAGCCGGUCACUCGUUAUUUACUCCGGCAUGCCCCCACAAUACUCUAACUUUAUCUUUCCACUUUCUAGUAAUAAUACGAACUGUAUAUAUUUAAUUACAUAUGUAUACGAGCAGCACUUCAAUCAAUUAAUCCUUACUCAAAUUUAUAUUUUUCCUCCUAUCAUGAAACCAUCUUCAAUUAACUCACAUCUUAAUACAUUUUUACUAAAUUACUUAUAUCCAUUACUUACGUAAUUCCUUAAAUUAUAUCAUCGGCAACUUAAUUAUGAUGUCACGUGUCUACUUCAGUCUUUCUAAAUAAUUUUCACCAAAUCCCUCUUAUAUUUCCACACAUAAUCCACAUAUAUGGCAGCAACAAUCAUUCUCACUUUCACUCGAUUAUUUCCUAGUUUACACGCAUCGUUAUCUAUCUAACUUUCAAUACUUUGUUUCUCAAUCCUCCAUCCACAAUAUUCCUUUUUCAUUUCUUUCAAAUGACAUGCCAUACAAUCCUAACAAUUUUCAACUAGCUUAUGCAAGUAGAUCCUUUCAACAACCAUAAUUUCCCACAAUAUUCAACUAACCAUAGGCUUUAAAACAUAGUGCUAAGCUUAUCGUUUUCCUUUUCCACUUUGAGUCCUUCAUGUAUCCAUGGGUUUAUUGGCUUACAUGUUAUCAAUUUUUCUCCAAUCAAGCCAAUCGUUGCUGCCACAAGAGAUUUCUCUAAGUCACUAACUCAUUUUCAAAGACUACCCAAACCAAAAACAAGAAUUCUUACCGUUCCAUGCUUGAAUCACCAAAACCAAGCUUUUUUCUUCCUUUUUUUCUUUUUCUUUCUUCUUCUCCUAGAGUUUAUAUGUGCUGGAAAUUUGGGUUAGAAGUUGUAACUUUGGUGCACAAGAAGUUGGGAGAAGAAUGAAGCAAGAAGAGAAAAGAAAUGAAAAGAAAAUAAGGAAAGAAAAUGAAAGAAAAUUAGUUUUCCAUGGGAGAAUGAGAGAAUGGCAUUGGAAGCUUCAAGAAUGAAGAAGAAAA
rnacentral:lncRNA from 1 species